CAUGAAUAAAAGAAAUCUUUUUAAGAGAAAAAUGGUUCUUAUUUAUUUCGACAAAUUUACUACUAUUUAAGAAACACCUUUUAAAGAAAAAUGGUUUCUUAUGAAAAGGGGUUUCUUAUAUCAGCUCCCCCACUAACCCUAACUAUUCUUCAUUUCUCCCUUAUCAGCUGCCCCCUUCUAUUCUUUUCUUCUUUCUCUCUCUUACGUCCAUUAAACCCUCCCUACAUAAACACUACAUACAUGUCCUCUCUUUUUCCUCCAUAGAAACCUCCUCUAUCUUAGCUUUCUAUUCAAACGCGCAGAUCUUGAGCAUUUUCUCAUAGGUCUAGAAUUUAAAGGAGCAAUCAACGGUGGAUAUUGUCAUUCAUCAAAUGAAUUCAAAGAAUAUAAAGGCAUGAAGUAUAUCAAUUUUUGUUUGGAUACGAUCGCCAUUUGUUUAGUAGUUAUAGAUAAUUAGUUAUUGUAAAAGUUUUUGAUUAUGUAUCUAAUUUUAUAGUAGUAAAUUGUAAAACAAUAAAAUUAAGUAUAUGAUUCUUUUUUGUUUGA